rnacentral:lncRNA from 1 species
UAGCCACAUCUGGAUGAAACUGUACUGUGUCACUUCUGGGAUUAUUAUUUUCUUUUUUAUUCUAUAGCAUGUGUUAUUACCACUAAUGGAAAAUCAAAGACCUCAAGUUGAUGCAAUUAAAUUCCAGCUGUGUUCUAAAGGGCAUUUAAAAUCUAUAGGAAGGACCUAAGCAUGGAGCUGUGGCUCUCAGUGACCUCUCUUGUACCUCAUGGCCAUCGGUGAGGGCUGCAGUCUUUAAGGGCCACGUUCUGUUUGUAGUAAAUUGUUACAGGAACAAAAAAUAAUGAAAACAGCAGUCUUACUUCUGGACUGCUUCCCGUCUGCCCGGCACACUCCUAAAGACGACGACGUGUAAACUUUCUCACUUGGCAGAUGAUGAAAUUGAGACAGAAUUAUAUCAUUUGGCCAGCUACACAGCUAGAAGAAAAGGACUUGACUCAGGGCCUGUGCCCCAGGAGUUGUACCCUUCCACUGGGUGCUCCCAGGGGAGCUUGAGAGUUCCUGUUCUCUCCUCCAGGGAAAGAACGUGACUGAACAAUUCACUGUUUCUCCUUUCAGGCAGACUGCAUAAUUGUCUAAGAAGAGAAAGCUGGUAUAGUUAGAAGCAUACUACAAAUGUAUGAAAUUGAAUGUCUGAACAUUGAACUAGGGAAUACAGUACAUAUGUAGCCUUUAGGAUGAGAUAAAACCCUCAUGAGCAUGUCAUGGCACAUGCCUUUGAUCCCAGUGCUGGAGAGGUAGAGCCUAGUAAAUCUUUGUGAGUUUGAGGCCAGCCUACAUAAAUGAGUUCCAAGACAGGGCCUGAGCUAUAUAAUGAGAACCUGCCUAGAAAAAAAUAAAAGCAAUCAGUCAGUCAAACAAAACAACCACCUCUGCCUCAUGGAUAUGUGUGAUACUGUAUAGUCUACUAUGUAAAUGUGUUUUAUUUGGAUAUUUGGUCUGUUUGUAUGUUCUUUUUGUAUUACCUUUUCUCUCUUCUUUUAGCCCUGCCCCAUUUUUUAUUAAAAGUGUUACAAGCAUCUUUUGUGUGUGUGUGUGUGUGUGUGUGUGUGUAUGUAUGUAUGUAUAUAUAUAUAUAUAUGGUUAUUUUUGCCUUUAAAAAGUGCAUUUUUAAGGAUCAAAUUCCAAGGAUAAAUGUAAAAUUAUGGCAUUUUGAGUCUACUGACAAAUAUUUUUGCUGGGUUGAUUUUAUUAAUGAAUUGUACCAGCUUAUUCAUCUUUAUCGGUGUAUAAGAAUACCUAUUUCACUCUGUCCUCACAGUAUCUUCAAAAUAUUUGCAUUUGUUUCAUAUAUACUUUAAAGAGUCUUCACAGCAUUGAUCUGUUCUAAUGCUGUGCUAACAGUGUUUGCAUCUUACUGUAAACAUCUGAAAUUGCUGCUUUUAAAAAAAAUGGUGUGUUUAUGUUAUAUAAAUUUCAGCUGAAAAAACUAACAAUUGUUUCUAUGUAUGUACAUUUGUUUACAUGUAUGUGUGUGCGUGUGUGUGACCCUGCAGACAGGCACAGCUGCGGCACCAAGCUUUCACUGUGAGCCUUGAAGGGCUGCAGCUUCCUGUGUCACACACUGUGAUCGUGUACUGAAUGGAUAAUGUGUGCUGCUGGCUGGCUACAUCGUGUUGCUGGGUUUGGCCUGUCAAGGGUUAAAAUGGUUUCCUGCCAAGCAGUAUUUUACUGGCCUGGAGGAGAUGGUGUCCUGCGGACAUUACUGUGCAGCUGUGGCGCACUUUCAAAUACACAGCUCAGGAGACACCGGUCUAGGAUCCGCUCAGUGAGGAAAUGAAUUCACCUCCAUCCUAAACAUUCCUGAUAUGCAUGUAUAUACAAUAAUGUAUGCAGACCAUUAUAAAAUAGUGCCUGCCAGCCAGAGCACAUAGCUGUGAUAUGUAAGUCUCCGGCCUUGCCAGAGCCCCGCUUCACCUUGUUCUGGCCAUAGCAACAUGUUUCCCUCCCCAGCAUUUCUGCUUUUGGAAAUAAUCAGCAGGGGUUCUUUAUGUAAAUCUGUACUAACUAUAUUUUAAUUUUAUGUAAACCUCUGCCAGUUUUAUUUUCAUUUUAUUUUAGUAGUGUAAAACGGUACUAAUUUUCAUGUGAUUUGUCAAACUAUUAAGACCAUUAACUUUCUGUUGUCUAUAUCUGUUACAGUUAUAAUUCACAGCACUUGUUUGCAUUUGAAAUGAGUGUGAAUACUCCAAAUUUGAUUGUUUUCUAAUUUUUUGUCAUGUCUGUUUAUUUCUUUUGGCUGUAUGUGUUCCAAUCUCAACCUUUUUGUAUCUAACAAUUGAUAAAUAUUUUAUGUAUUUUCUUCAUUAAAAAUGUUUCCUUGAGUCAAACUCUAACUUGUUUCUGAAUUAUUGAAAGUUGUCUUAGCUAUUCUUAUGGAUGAACAAUAUAGAAGUUGUAUUAAAUUCCAGAUUCCACGAGGGCUUUGAAUUGAAUUGUGAUAAAUAAUCAAUCAAUUUUGGAAGAAUUUAUGUUUUGUGAUAGUCUUAUAAAUCAGGGAUUUUUUUGUGAAAUCCCAUAUUUUUGUAUACAUUAUACACAUUUUUAUUAUAGGCUAGUUUAUGUUUAUGUAUGUAUAUAGAAUUUCUAGUAUAAAACAAAUCUUUCUUUUAUAUAUUAAUGCCUUGACUGUUGAUUUUAUAUAUUUGACAGCCAAUCAAUUCAUCAAAUUUGUAUCUAAUUGUUUUCAAGUUUAUUCUUUUGGGUUUGCUAUAUUUAAUAAUCAUAUACCUAUAAAAUAAAUUUCCAAGUAUUUAGACCUU